UGCCCUCUGCUGGAGACUUUGUGCACUCCUGGUUCAUUUAUUUAAAUUUUUUUCUGUUUUUCUCUUUUAGGACUGUAACUCUGGACACCAGCGGAGAGAGCGCAGGUCUCUGGACUUCCAUGACAGUGCUUCCAUAUCCAUGGGUCCUCUGAUGUUGUCUGAAGGGAAAACAGAUAAGUGGUUCCCAGAUCAAGUGAAGGUGUCUGAGGCUUCUUGUCUGUGUGCUUCUCUGAUGCUGUUACUUGUUCCUCUGAUGAGUGUCCUGACCCUCUUUUAGUUUACUUCCACAAAAAAAAAAUGCAUGUUGUCUAUUAAUGUUGAACUGAUGUUACACUUGUGGUGGGUUUCUAAAUAUUUUUAUGUGGUGUCAUAAAUAAUGAUUUAACCCUUUACAUUAGUAAUUAUAUACUGCAUUCAUUCUGUUUUACUUGAGAUGAUGUCUGCAAUAGCAAACAGAAUCAGAUUUGUGUUAAUUCAAAUCAUGCAAAAAUAUUAAUAGGGUAAUUUCUGUUUUGCGGUUUCCUUUUCAAAAUUUUUAACUCUUAGUAGUUGAUGGAAAUUUUUCUAUAAAAUGCUUGUUACACUUGUGGUGGUUUCUAAAUAUUUUAUGUGGUGUCAUAAAUAAUAGUAUUUAACCCUUUACAUUAGUAAUUAUAUACUGCAUUCAUUCUGUUUACUUGAGAUGAUGUCUGCAAUAGCAAACAGAAUCAGAUUUGUGUUAAUUCAAAUCAUGCAAAAAUAUUAAUAGGGUAAUUUCUGUUUUGCGGUUCCUUUUCAAAAUUUUAACUCUUAGUAGUUGAUGGAAAUUUUUCUAUAAAAUGCUGAUUGUCAGAAAUAGCUGAACUGAAAUAUGUGAUGUUGUGUUAGUAGAAUAUUAUGAGUUCUUUCAUUAAGAAUUAUAAGUUUAAUAAUAUUCAUAUUCAUAUUCUGGCAUAAUGUUUUAUUCUGGAAAUUAUUAUGGGGCAUAAAUUAUAGGGGUUAUUAAAAUUCAGUGUGAAUGCCCCAGAAUGUAACUGAAAAAAUAAUUACAUAAUAAUUAGUAAAAAGUAUUAAGCAAAAUUAGUUUUCUUGUUUCAUUUUAUUCUAAUUUCCUUUCAGUAAAACUAAGAAAAAGAUUAACAUUGAUAACAUUAUCUUUCUUUGCAGUCAUUUUGCUUAUUGUUCAUAGAGAUGCUAUAUGAUAAAAUGCAUGAGAAGAUUCUUGCCAUUAUAUUUAACAUUCUCAAGGUUUUUAAGAAUGUUUCCGCACUGGUUGAAUUGUGCUUUCCUUGAAGAUAAGAUGGGGUGAGUUUCAGUCACUGGUUAGAUUAACAAAUAUAAGUAUUGUUCUUGUUCUAAAAGAAGUGAAGGAGAAACUGAAAAUGAGGAGAUGGUAGGGCAGAGUGCAUUCAGUGUGAUGCAAUUUCAGAAAGGUCAUGUCUGACCGGGUGAGUUUCAGUCAACUGGUUAGAUUAACAAAUAUAAGUAUUGUUCUUGUUCUAAAAGAAAGUGAAGAGAAACUGAAAAUGAGGAGAUGGUAGGGCAGAGUGCAUUCAGUGUGAUGCAAAUAUUCAGAAAAGGUCAUGUCUGACCAGUCCUCUGAUCCUCUUCUUGAAUAUUCCUGCAUUUUACUAAAGCCUCUGUAAAUCCACCUCAGAUAGUUUCAUUAGAAUGCUGCAAAAUCAUUUGAAAUAUAUAUAUAUAUAUAUAUAUAUAUAGUUUGUAAUAUAUAUAUAUAUAUAUAUAUAUAUAGAUUUUUUUUUGUGGUUUACAGAAUUGUUAGCUGCAUUUCUGUAACAUUUAGUUUUAAUUUUUCACUGCAGUUUUCUUAAUGCUGAUGUUUUUUUUUAUAGACGUCUUUACAGAAAAAAAAAACAUUACAAAUCAAGUCUAUAUUUAUGAGACUGUUAAUUUGAUCAAAAGCAGCGUUGGGGGUAAUGCAUUACAAGUAAUGUGAGUAAUGUAAUAAGAUUUUUUUUUUUCAAGCAACUAUUAAAAUAACAGAUUACUUUUUAAUUUACAUGAAAAUAUCAGAGUUACUUUUUUCAAAAAAUAAACACCAGUUACUUUUUUUCCCAUUUGUUG
rnacentral:lncRNA from 1 species